rnacentral:misc_RNA from 1 species
UUGGAGGCUUAAUUAGGGUUUUACCAUCUUCUUCAUAGUAGCCUCACAUUUCUCUCACGCCCACAAAUCGCCUGCUCAUUCGCUUGUAACACUGGUUUUGUCCUCUCUCUGUAUCAAUGGUGGUGAAUGAAGAGAGCUCUGGUACGCCAUUGGAGUUGUUUUUGAAAAUCGGUCUCGAUGAGAGAACCGCGCGAAACACCAUCGCCAACAACAAGGUCACCAAUAAUCUCACCUCCGUCAUUCACGAGGCGGGUGUCACUGAGGGAUGCAGUAGAACAAUUGGAAACCUCCUUUACACGGUAGCUACAAAGUACCCAGCAAAUGCCCUCAUACAUCGACCUACUUUACUGGGAUAUGUUGUCUCCUCAAAGGUUAAAACCCCGGCCCAGCUAGAAGCUGCAUUUUCAUUUUUAUCAAAAACUGCUUCAGAGAGUUUUAAUCUUCAAGGAGACAAUAUAUCCCAGCAAAGUAGGUCGAUGGAUGAGGGCAUUAGCUGGGUACUUUGUAGCAACCGUGUAAAGGAGGUUUCCAAUUGUUCU